rnacentral:rRNA from 1 species
GAGAAACGCUGGCGGCGCACAUAAGACAUGCAAGUCGAACGGGAAUUAGAUUUUUGUUAACCAAAGAGAUAAUUUUAGUGGCGGACUGGUGAGUAACACGUGAGCAACCUACCUUUAAGAGGGGAAUAACAAUGAGAAAUCAGUGCUAAUACCGCAUAAACCAUAGAUAUCGCAUGAUAAAGAUGGCAAAGGAGAAAUCCGCUUAAAGAUGGGCUCGCGUCUGAUUAGUUAGUUGGAGUGGUAAAGGCACCCCAAGACGAUGAUCAGUAGCCGAGCUGAGAGGCACAACGGCCACAUUGGGACUGAGAUACGGCCCAGACUCCUACGGGAGGCAGCAGUCGGGAAUAUUGCACAAUGGGGGAACCCUGAUGCAGUGACGCCGCGUAUAGGAAGAAGGUCUUUGGAUUGUAAACUAUUGUCAACAGGGAAGAAAUAAAUGACAGUACCUGAAGAGGAAGCCCCGGCAAACUACGUGCCAGCAGCCGCGGUAAAACGU